UUCAUUUUAGCGAGACUGCCGGUAAUAAACCGGAGGAAGGUGGGGAUGACGUCAAAUCAUCAUGCCCCUUAUGACCUGGGCUACACACGUGCUACAAUGGUUGGUACAACGAGUUGCGAGUCGGUGACGGCAAGCUAAUCUCUUAAAGCCAAUCUCAGUUCGGAUUGUAGGCUGCAACUCGCCUACAUGAAGUCGGAAUCGCUAGUAAUCGCGGAUCAGCACGCCGCGGUGAAUACGUUCCCGGGCCUUGUACACACCGCCCGUCACACCACGAGAGUUUGUAACACCCGAAGUCGGUGAGGUAACCUUUUGGAGCCAGCCGCCUAAGGUGGGAUAGAUGAUUGGGGUGAAGUCGUAACAAGGGAACCGUAA
rnacentral:rRNA from 1 species